rnacentral:lncRNA from 1 species
AUGCAGCUGGACUACUGCUGGGGAGCAGUCUCUUCUCUGAAGUCGGACUCCCCUUUUGAAACGCAGAGUCCCCAGAGCGGCCCGGGCAGGUGGUGCAAGCACCCCUGCUCUCCCGCGCCCCCUGCCGGAGGGAGAGGAGGAAAAGGAGGAAAAGGAAAAAGAGGAGGAGAAAAGAGAGGCUGCGAGGAGAGAGAGAAGGAGCAGCGAGAGCCUGGGCGCCGAGGGGGAACAACCCGAGAGUUUGCCCGAUGGUGCUGCCGCUGCCUCUGCCGCUGCUGCUGCUGCCGCCUCCUCCGCCAAGCGGGAGAGGAGGGGCGAAGAGCCAGUUGGGCAGAAGCCUGGGUCCUUUGCUUCUCCUCUUGGCGUUAGGACACACCUGGACCUACAGAGAGGAGUUUGAGGACAGCGACAGAGAGGUCUGUUCAGAGAACAAGAUAGCGACCACCAAGUAUCCCUGUUUGAAACCUACGGGCGAGCUCACCACGUGUUUUAGGUAAGACUGCGCUUAUUGGAGACUUUUCGCUGAUUAAGGCUGAGGGGUGGAAGGAAGACCAGGUAAAGGAGAAUUGGAGGUGGUUAGUGCGAAGGAGAGACCCAGAAUGUCGUGAUUGUGCUGUGUGUCGCUUGGAAUAAGCAAGCGGUUGAUGGUGAGCUCACCUCUGUGAAUAGUUUCCUGUGGUGUUUAUCUGAGGUUUGGGGGGCGGGGAGGGAGCCAAAAUCAAGCCACCAAUUGGACAACUGGGGCUAGUGCUUAUCUAGAUCCCGAGUGUUUAUCGCUAUCGCGCAUAUUUGUGUGUGGUAGAGGUGGGGGCUCGAGCCGGGGAGGAAGAAGGAAAAGGUUGAAAGUUUAUGAAGGAAAGUUGAUUUGGGCUUUGAAUGUAAACACUGGGGCACUGGGAAGAUGAAUGGUUGCUUGAGCAUUUGCUGUUUUGUUUUGAAAAUCCAAAGUCAACAAAGGGAAAAUACUAGGCACUUGGCUGUCUCUUGACCCUCUCCCCCGCUGGGACAGCCUCCAUCGCUGUCUCUGCCUCUGAGAACAAGGUGAUGGGGUAGGAAGGAGUGUGUGUUGGGGGAUGGGAAGCAACAGGACUAUGGGUUGCUGUGUGUGUUGGAUGAAUCUGGAAAACGUCAGGAUUGUUGAAAUAGCAAGAGAAGCAGUUCAUUGACUAGGAAGAUUGAGGGGGAGAGAUUGCCUCUGUUUAGGGUAUUGGAAAUGGAAAGUGCUGAGUCUGUAGAAGUAAGAAUUGGCAGAACCUCUGAUUAUAUUUCCUUGUUAGGAGUCAUUUGAUUGUCCUGUAUCAAUGAAACUCCCAGUUAUGUGACCGUGGUCCUGCUGUUAAAAGAAGAGAAAUACAAUUACUUUGACUUGGAAAAUCUAGCGUAAUUCAGCAUUCUUGUGCAGAAAUUAGAAG